GCAGGAGAUGCUCGACGAGCAUCAGCUUCUCAAGCUGAAUACGCGGGUUCGAUUCCCGUCAUCGGCUCCA
rnacentral:tRNA from 1 species